AUAAAAAAUAAAUGCCGUAUUCCGCUGUCUCCAGAAACGUCCGCGGGACUACGUUUUCAGAAUGAGCUUGGGUUGCCUAUAACACUGCAACAAAAAAUCCUUUCUAAUGCUACUGAAACUAAAUAAGCUGCUAUAUUUUAUACAGGCGUGUGUGCAAAGACAUCUUUGCGUGUGUUCAUUUUGCAUUUUGCAUUGGAUUGCAAGGGUUGCCAGGUUUUCGCAACAAAACUAUAGCCAAAUGAUAUAAAAAAAAUAUGCCACUGUUCAUAAAUUAAGAACAUAUUUCACACCACCAUAUGCAUUAUACACUGAAAAUAACUGUAUAUUAGUGUAUAUUGCAUUGCAUGAUGUUGUUUAGAAUAACUUGACUAUAUGCUUGGAAAUAGUGUUGUUUUUAACACUCAUUCUAAUCCAUUUUGACCUGUAACACUGCAAAAAAAUUUACUUUCUUAGUUACAUUUUUUCAGGAGGAAACAGAAGCUGUUUAUUUCACUCAUCGUUAUUCUUGUGGUAAUAAUGUGUGUGUGUUUUCACUUGCUUUUAUCCAAGCCAUGGACUGAGUUUGCAUCUUUUCCUAUGCUGUUGCUGAAUCCUGAAUGAAAUUGAAUCUUUAUGAUUUUUAAUGCUACUGAAACUAAAUAAACUGCUAUAUUUUACACAGGUGUGUGUGCAAAGACCGUUCAUUUGGCAUUGAAUUGCAAGGGUUGCCAGGUUUUCACAACAAACCCAGCCAAUUAAUAUAAAAAAAUUAUAUAAACGAAAUGAUAUAAAAAAUAUGCCAUCGCCCAUAAAUAAAGAACAUAUUUUACAUCACCUAUAUGCAUUAUACACUUUAAAAAUAACUGUAUAUUAGUCUAUAUAGCAUUGCAUGAUGUUGUUUAUAAUCAUUUGAAUGCAUGCUUGCAAAUGAUGUUGUUUUUAACAGUCAUUCUAGUUCAAUUUGACCCGUAACACUGUCAAAAAAAAAAAAAACUUUCUUAGUUACACAUUUCAAGAGGACACAGACAUUUAUUUACUUCAUUCAUCGUCAUUCUGGUGGUUAUAAUGUAUGUGUAUGUUUUCAUUUGCCUUUAUCCACGCCAUGGGUUGAGUUUGCGUCUUUCCCUUUGCCCUUGUUGAAAACACGACUAUGAUUGUUAAUGCAACUGAAAGUAAAUAAACUGCUAUAUUUUACACAG